rnacentral:rRNA from 1 species
GAUGAACGCUAGCUACAGGCUUAACACAUGCAAGUCGAGGGGUAACGAGAGGAAAGCUUGCUUUCCUUGUCGACGACCGGCGCACGGGUGAGUAACGCGUAUCCAACCUGCACCCAACUAGGGAAUAACCUUGCGAAAGUAAGACUAAUACCCUAUAAUUUCCUCAGAUGUCAUCUGACGAGGAAUAAAGAUUUAUCGGUUGUGGAUGGGGAUGCGUCUGAUUAGCUUGUUGGCGGGGUAACGGCCCACCAAGGUAACGAUUAGUAGGGGUUCUGAGAGGAAGGUGCCCCACAUUGGAACUGAGACACGGUCCAAACUCCUACGGGAGGCAGCAGUGAGGAAUAUUGGUCAAUGGGCGGAAGCCUGAACCAGCCAAGUAGCGUGCAGGAUGACGGCCCUAUGGGUUGUAAACUGCUUUUAUACAGGAAUAAAGUUAGCCACGUGUGGUUAUUUGUAGGUACUGUAUGAAUAAGGACCGGCUAAUUCCGUGCCUGCCGCCGCAGAA